UUAAGUCUUGACGAGUAAGAGGGUCGCGACGGUGAGCGCAGAAGGGUCAGGGCGAGAGCCUGCCUGGAGCCGCCGUUGGUGCAGAUCUUGGUGGUAGUAGCAAAUACUCUAGCGAGGGCCUGGAGGACUGACGUGGAGAAGGGUUUCUUGUGAACAGCCGUUGCACAAGAGUCAGUCGGCCCUGAGCCCUAGGAGAAAUCCGAUGACAAUGGGUGGCUUGACAAUAUAUAUGCACACACAAGUUACAACAGUAAAAUGUUGUUGCUCUGUGUAGACACAUUUUAAUCACAGACCACAAACUGUGUCUGUCGUUUGAGUUAUGCACAAAGUGCUGCUUGCGACUGAACAGCUCCUAUCGGGCGAAAGGGAAUCCGGUUCCUAUUCCGGAACCCGGCUGCGUAACCGCAUCUUUGCGGGCACUUGCUUGCGAGCGCUCGUCGGGGUAACCCAAACUGGCCUGGAGACGCCGGCGGGGGGUCUGGAAAGAGUUUUCUUUUCUUUAUAAGCGUUCGAGUACCCUGGAAUCCUAUAGCAGGGAGAUAGGGUUUGGAACGCGAAGAGCACCGCAGUUGCGGCGGUGUCUGGACCUUCCCCCCGGACCUUGAAAAUCCAGGUGAGGGCCACGCGGAAGUCGCGCCGG
rnacentral:rRNA from 1 species